rnacentral:tRNA from 1 species
GGGAGUGGCCUAAUGGUAUGGCAUCAGCUUCCCAAGCUGAGGGUUGCGGGUUCGAGUCCCGUCUCU